rnacentral:rRNA from 1 species
CCGGCGACCGGCGCACGGGUGAGUAACACGUAUGCAACCUGCCCUCCGCAGGGGGAUAACCCGGAGAAAUCCGGACUAAUACCGCGUGGUACAUCUGUGGGGCAUCCCACGGGUGUUAAAAGGAAGCGAUUCCGGCGGAGGAUGGGCAUGCGGCGCAUUAGGCAGUAGGCGGGGUAACGGCCCACCUAACCGACGAUGCGUAGGGGUUCUGAGAGGAAGGUCCCCCACACUGGUACUGAGACACGGACCAGACUCCUACGGAAGGCAGCAG